UAGAAGCAUGGAGAUUGACCAUAAAAACAAAACCAUCACAGCAUAUCAUGAACCCGGUCAUGCUAUUAUUGCAUAUUACACUAAGGACGCAAUGCCUAUCAACAAAGCUACAAUCAUGCCAAGAGGGCCAACACCUGGACAUGUGUCCCUCUUGCCUGAGAAUGACAGAUGGAAUGAAACUAGAGCUCAGCUGCUUGUGCAGAUGGAUGUUAGUAUGGGAAGAAGAGGGGCUGAGGAGCUUAUAUUUGGAACUGACCAUAUCACAACAGGUGCUUCCAGUGAUUUUGAUAAUGCAGCCAAAAUUGCAAAGCGGAUGGUUACCAAAAUUUGGAAUGAGCGAAAAGGGAAUAGCUAAUUCUA